rnacentral:rRNA from 1 species
UGGGGAAUAUUGCACAAUGGGCGCAAGCCUGAUGCAGCCAUGCCGCGUGUAUGAAGAAGGCCUUCGGGUUGUAAAGUACUUUCAGUCGGGAGGAAGGUGUCAAGGUUAAUAACCUUGGCAAUUGACGUUACCGACAGAAGAAGCACCGGCUAACUCCGUGCCAGCAGCCGCGGUAAUACGGAGGGUGCAAGCGUUAAUCGGAAUUACUGGGCGUAAAGCGCACGCAGGCGGUUGAUUGAGUCAGAUGUGAAAUCCCCGGGCUUAACCCGGGAAUGGCAUCUGAUACUGGUCAGCUAGAGUCUUGUAGAGGGGGGUAGAAUUCCAUGUGUAGCGGUGAAAUGCGUAGAGAUGUGGAGGAAUACCGGUGGCGAAGGCGGCCCCCUGGACAAAGACUGACGCUCAGGUGCGAAAGCGUGGGGAGCAAACAGG